rnacentral:rRNA from 1 species
GAUGAACGCUGGCGGCGUGCCUAAUACAUGCAAGUCGAGCGAACAGACGAGGAGCUUGCUCCUCUGACGUUAGCGGCGGACGGGUGAGUAACACGUGGAUAACCUACCUAUAAGACUGGGAUAACUUCGGGAAACCGGAGCUAAUACCGGAUAAUAUAUUGAACCGCAUGGUUCAAUAGUGAAAGACGGUUUUGCUGUCACUUAUAGAUGGAUCCGCGCCGCAUUAGCUAGUUGGUAAGGUAACGGCUUACCAAGGCAACGAUGCGUAGCCGACCUGAGAGGGGGAUCGGCCACACUGGAACUGAGACACGGUCCAGACUCCUACGGGAGGCAGCAGUAGGGAAUCUUCCGCAAUGGGCGAAAGCUUGACGGAGCAACGCCGCGUGAGUGAUGGAGGUCUUCGGAUCGUAAAACUCUGUUAUUAGGGAAGAACAAAUGUGUAAAUAACUUUGCACGUCUUGACGGUACCUAAUCAGAAAGCCACGGCUAACUACGUG